UACGUAGGGUGCAAGCGUUAAUCGGAAUUACUGGGCGUAAAGCGUGCGCAGGCGGUUUUGUAAGCCAGAUGUGAAAGCCCCGGGCUCAACCUGGGAAUGGCAUUUGGGACUGCAAGGCUGGAGUUUGGCAGAGGAGACUGGAAUUCCUGGUGUAGCAGUGAAAUGCGUAGAUAUCAGGAGGAAUACCGAUGGCGAAGGCAGGUCUCUGGGCUGAUAACU
rnacentral:rRNA from 1 species